GACGAACGCUGGCGGCGUGCUUAACACAUGCAAGUCGAACGGAAAGGCCCUGCUUUUGUGGGGUGCUCGAGUGGCGAACGGGUGAGUAACACGUGAGUAACCUGCCCUUGACUUUGGGAUAACUUCAGGAAACUGGGGCUAAUACCGGAUAGGAGCUCCUGCUGCAUGGUGGGGGUUGGAAAGUUUCGGCGGUUGGGGAUGGACUCGCGGCUUAUCAGCUUGUUGGUGGGGUAGUGGCUUACCAAGGCUUUGACGGGUAGCCGGCCUGAGAGGGUGACCGGCCACAUGGGGACUGAGAUACGGCCCAGACUCCUACGGGAGGCAGGAGUGGGGAAUAUUGCACAAUGGGCGGAAGCCUGAUGCAGCAACGCCGGGGGCGGGAUGACGGCCUUCGGGUGGGAAACCGCUUUCGCCUGUGACGAAGCGUGAGUGACGGUAAUGGGAAAAGAAGCACCGGCUAACUACGG
rnacentral:rRNA from 1 species